UUUUGUAUAGCUUUGAUUGAUUUUGGGUGGAUAUGAUAGGACUUAGGACUAAAUUAUGGCUGACUUUUAUUGAUUAAAUCAAAAGAAAAUAAACAAUCCCAACCUACAAUUCGAGAGGUAGGUCAAUCUCUCCCAAAAUUCCUAAUGGUUCAUAAUACCAAACAAAACUUAACAUAAACCCUAAAUGACUCCAUAAUCUCUUAUUUAUAGCUGAACCUUAAUUAAUAAAAUUACUAAACUGCCCCUGCACCUAAAAUUACUAAACAGCCCCUGCCUCUUUAUAUUUGCGCCUAACAUAAGUUUUCAUGGAUCUAACAUUACUCCCCUCCCAAAAAGACACCUUGUCCUCAAGGUGGAAUCUAGGAAACUGCUGCUGUGUCCUUAUCCGCAAUCAUCUGUGCCAACUCCAUUGACUCCCCUAACCCUCUCGGCCCAAGCAAGCGCAGCGCGGCUAGGAUUUCCGGCUUCAGUCCCUUCAUAAAAUUUCCUUCCAACACUGACUCUGAGAUGUCCCCUAGACGUCCCGAUAGUAGCUCAAACUUUUUCCUAUACUCCAUGACCGUUCUCUCUUGGGUCAAGGCAAAAAACUGUUCAUGCAAAUCUCCCUCUUGAGUGGCCUGAAACCUCUCCAACAGACAAUCUUUAAAUUCACCCCACGACCUCAAUGGUUGUCAUUGUUCUCUCCAUUUAAACCACAUAAAGGCAUUUCCCUCCAAACAUAACGCCGCCGCCAUCAGUUUUUUCCUUUCUAAGAGUCCAUUGAUGGCGAAAUAGCGCUCCACCCUAUACACCCAUCCAUAGGCAUUCUCGCCUUUGAAAAUGGGCAUUUUUAGUUUCCUUACCCCAAAAUCCGCUCCAAAUUGAGUCAGCCCCGCCUAAUUUCGCACCAUUGAAGGUCUCCAACCUCCCGAAUCUACUCCAUUUUCCGCAAAUCCCGAAGACCUAGCCCAAAAUUCUCCUUGCCUAGCUCCAUAUUGGGCUGAAAUCCCACGCCCAGCUGCAUUCCGGUCAUAACUGCUCCCUUUCUCGCCGGUAACCCCUCCUCCUGGCCAUUUGCCCCUAAAUUCGACCUGUCUAGACCCAAAACCGCCCAGCCCAGGCCCAAAUCCAGCCUGCCCCGGCCCACAGCAGCCCUGCCUUGGCCCAAAACGGCCUUGCCCAGCCCAAAAUUUGGCCUGCCCAGGCCGUGCAUCACCCCCAAUCGCCGCCGAGUCGCCAAGCCCAGCCACCCCUGACUCUUGCGUGCCCCAUUCCAAUGUCGAAACACUGAUUCCCAACCCUAAACUGCCUCCUCCAGCCGCGUAACCCUCAGAUCCACCGCCCCUAGCCGCAACCCAGCCUCCUUCGCCACGCCCAAUGCCAGGAAAGGCUCCUCUAGGCCGUAAGUCCCCUAGGCUGACCUCCCCGCCACCAAAUCCGCCAUGAACUGUUGCCCUGGCUGUGCAAGACUGGUGGUUUUCGGCCCUCCGCCCUCUGUGCCGUCGCUAAGCACGAGUUUUGUGUCGCCAGAUCCUUCUCCCGCCACACCGCCUUGGCCUGUUGAUACUGCCAGUGGUGGGUUGAGGUGGAGUUCUGUCAAUUUCAACAACAUGGCUUCAAGAGAUGAAAAUUUUUGUUGAACGUUAUUAAAUCGCUCGUCAAUGGUGGCCGUGAGCGAUCCAAUCUCUGCUUCCAAUUUUUCUUCAAGCGCGUCCACUUUCUUUGCUGCCAUUGUCCCAGGAUCCCUACUUUGAUACCACUUUGAUAGGACUUAGGACUAAAUUAGGGCUGACUUUUAUUGAUUAAAUCAAAAGAAAACAAACAAUCCUGACCUACAAUUCGAGAGGUAGCUCAAUCUCACCCAAAACUCCUAAUGGUUCAUAAUACCAAACAAAACUCAACAUAAACCCUAAAUGACUCCAUAAUCUCUUAUUUAAAGCUGAACCUUAAUUAAUAAAAUUACUAAACUGCCCAUGCCCCUAAAAUUACUAAACAGCCCCUGCCUCUUUAUAUUUGCGCCUAACAUAAGUUUUCAUGGAUCUAACAGGAUACCUGGUCCAUUGCUAAACUGUAUUUUGUCCAUUUCUUAUCAAUACAAAUACUCAUAGUUUCUUAAAAAAAGGGAAGGAAAACAUUCAAAGUAAAGUUCAAGAAGACAUGUUUUUGAGCGAAAAGAAUUCUAUUUCCAAGUAUAAAAUAACCUGCUCAAAUUUAGAACUAUUUGUUUGCCACUAUUACAGAUUUGGGCUCUAUAGAUUGCCAUCAUAACAGAUUCGAGCUAUUUGUCUAUAGAUUCCAAAUUUAAAAGUCUUUACCCACAUUAAAAUGUCUUUUAUUAGGAAAAACUUUGGUAUCAUGCUGUGAUGGCAUUAGCAGUAUCAUUUUCAAAAAUAAGGAAAUGUACGAAAGUCUUAAUAUUGGCUUCUCUCAAGUGAAUGAUGUUGGUUUAUUUUCUAUGCUCAUCUGGUG
rnacentral:lncRNA from 1 species